AGAGUUUGAUCCUGGCUCAGGACGAACGCUGGCGGCGUGCUUAACACAUGCAAGUCGAACGGAAAGGCCCUUCGGGGUACUCGAGUGGCGAACGGGUGAGUAACACGUGGGUGAUCUGCCCUGCACUUUGGGAUAAGCCUGGGAAACUGGGUCUAAUACCGAAUAUGACCACGCGCUUCAUGGUGUGUGGUGGAAAGCUUUUGCGGUGUGGGAUGGGCCCGCGGCCUAUCAGCUUGUUGGUGGGGUAAUGGCCUACCAAGGCGACGACGGGUAGCCGGCCUGAGAGGGUGACCGGCCACACUGGGACUGAGAUACGGCCCAGACUCCUACGGGAGGCAGCAGUGGGGAAUAUUGCACAAUGGGCGCAAGCCUGAUGCAGCGACGCCGCGUGAGGGAUGACGGCCUUCGGGUUGUAAACCUCUUUCAAUAGGGACGAAGCGCAAGUGACGGUACCUAUAGAAGAAGGACCGGCCAACUACGUGCCAGCAGCCGCGGUAAU
rnacentral:rRNA from 1 species